AUUGAACGCUGGCGGCAGGCUUAACACAUGCAAGUCGAACGAGUGGCGGACGGGUGAGUAAUGUCUGGGAAACUGCCUGAUGGAGGGGGAUAACUACUGGAAACGGUAGCUAAUACCGCAUACCAUCAGAUGUGCCCAGAUGGGAUUAGCUGGUUGGUGGGGUAAGUGCUCACCAAGGCGACGAUCCCUAGCUGGUCUGAGAGGAUGACCAGCCACACUGGAACUGGAACACGGUCCCGACUCCUACGGGAGGCAGCAGUGGGGAAUAUUGCACAAUGGGCGCAAGCCUGAUGCAGCCAUGCCGCGUGUAUGAAGAAGGCCUUCGGGUUGUAAAGUACUUUCAGCGGGGGGGCGUUACCCGCAGAAGAAGCACCGGCUAACUCCGUGCCAGCAGCCGCGGUAAUUC
rnacentral:rRNA from 1 species